rnacentral:rRNA from 1 species
GACGAACGCUGGCGGCGUGCUUAACACAUGCAAGUCGAACCGUGGCGAACGGGUGAGUAACACGUGAGUAACCUGCCCUCCACUUUGGGAUAACUCCGAGAAAUCGGGGCUAAUACUGGAUCGUUGGGGAUGGGCUCGCGGCCUAUCAGUUUGUUGGUGAGGUAGUGGUCACCAAGGCGUGACGGGUAGCCGGCCUGAGAGGGCGACCGGCCACAAUGGGACUGAGGCACGGACCAGACUGCUACGGGAGGCAGUAGUGGGGAAUAUUGCACAAUGGGCGAAAGUCUGAGGCAGCGACGCCGCGGGGGGGAUGACGGCCUUCGGGUUGUAAACCUCUUGCAGCAAGGAAGCGGUACUUGCAGAAGAAGCGCCGGCUAACUACGUGCCAGCAGCCGCGGUAAUAC